AUUGAACGCUGGCGGCAUGCUUUACACAUGCAAGUCGAACGGUAACAGGCCUUCGGGUGCUGACGAGUGGCUAACGGGUGAGUAAUGCAUCGGAACGUGCCCAGAGGUGGGGGAUAACGCAGCGAAAGCUGUGCUAAUACCGCAUGGGAUCUGAGGAUGAAAGCGGGGGACCAGGCAGCAAUGUUUGGCCUCGCGCCUUUGGAGCGGCCGAUGUCAGAUUAGGUAGUUGGUGGGGUAAAGGCCUACCAAGCCGACGAUCUGUAGCUGGUCUGAGAGGACGACCAGCGCCACUGGGACUGGGACACGCCCAAGGCUCCUACGGGAGGCAGCAGUGGGGAAUGUUGGACAGUGGGCGCAAGCCUGAUCCAGCAAGGGCGCGUGCGGGAAGAAGGCCUUCGGGUUGUAAACCGCUUUUGUACGGAACGAAAAGGCUCUGGCUAAUACCUGGGGCUGAUGACGGUACCGUAAGAAUAAGCACCGGCUAACUACGUG
rnacentral:rRNA from 1 species